rnacentral:lncRNA from 1 species
AUGCAGACAAAGGCAGAGCUGGGCGCAUGGGAAGCGCGGCUCGCUCCGACCCCGCCGGACCGCGGCGAUGGGGCCGGCUCCGCACGCAGCCCCGCAGCUCUCGGGGUCAUCCCGGUACCGCAGGGACGCUGCUGUCACGGGGAGGUGGUGGGCGUUUAUCGGGGUGAGAGAGCGUCCCCAGUGCAGGGGAUCAGGGCUGGUGUUGGCAGCAUCGCUCCCCAGAGGCUCUGCCAGGGCCAACUUUACAAGGGAAGCUUUUUUUUUAUUUCAGGCUUUUCUUUCUUUUUUCUUCUUUCUUUCUUCCCCCCCCGCCCCCCCCCUACCCCCCAAGCAGAAACAAAGCCGAGGGCUCCAGCAGUGAGAGCACGGGUGGGAAAACAGACCGGGGGGGUGCAGGGGGGGGAGGUGGGAAGAAAAUACCAACAACCCACAGAUCCUGCAACAAGAAGGAUGGGUGAGAAGGAAACCGGGGGCUGCAGGGCUAGACGUGGGGCUGGGAGGGAAGGAGAGGUGAAGAGGCAGCUCCGCUGUGUCACGUAUGUCACAGCCCCGGAGCUGCCGCUGUGGCCUCGGGAGGCUCAGGGGGGUCCUGGGCCCCGCACAGAGGGGGAAGGGGAGCGGGGCGAGGGGUGUGGAGGCCGCAUCCCAAAGGCGCAACCCUCUCGGAUGGGUCCCCCCCCCAUCACCGUGUCAAGCGAGUGUCCCUACGGCACCCGCCCGGACUGUGCCCGGAGCUCUGAGCCCACCGGGCCACCCGGGAUGUCCCUCCUCAUCAGCGCUACCCGAGAUGUCCCCAGGAGAUCGCUCAGCGCUCAGCUCCCCGCGCCGUGCGCCUCCAAGUCCGGGGGGCAGCGGCAGCAGCGCCCCGCAGAGCUCUGCUUGCGAGGAGAGGAGAGACGAUGCUCCCGGGGGGGGAAGGAACCGAACCCCGGAGAUCUCCGGCUCCGCGCCCCGGCCCUGCAUCCCCGAGCCGAGCCGAAGCGAACCCGAACGGCGCCGUGCCCCGCCGCCCGCUGCCGGCCCUACCUGCACCGCGCCGCCGCCGGUCCCGUCUGCAGCCGCCGCCGCCGCCGAAGCGCGGAGCCGCGGGGGGCGGGAGGACGAGCGCCCCCUCCCCGCCCCCGGCCCCGCCGCCCGCCCCCGGCCCGGCCCCACGGCCCCGCGGGUGGCGGUGGGCGGCGGAGAGCGCGGGGCCCCGGAGCGGCGGCCACGAGGUUGAAGGGGGCGAGGGGGGGGGCAGGGGGGUAA